rnacentral:lncRNA from 1 species
AAGCCCAGAGCCAUCUCUGAACAUGGAAGCCAGACAGAAACAGCUCCCACUUGACAAGUCCAGGAGAGAAUUUAGGAAAGCAGUUCUUAGUACAGCGGGACAUAGACUUGGGUAAGGACCAGCGUUCAACAAGGAGUGACUGGAAAAAAGUGUUCAGUGUUUUAAACAUUGCCAAUCGGAGUAACAUGAAGCUGAACUUGUUAUUUUAGCUGAGCUCUACAUAGUUUUCAUCCUGGAAUUGACUACUAUAUAUAGUAGAGUGUUAUUCAUGCACUUGAACUGAUUAUGUGUGUCGGACUGAAAUGUCCCAGUGGUGCCACAAAGGAAAAGAACAUGGUAAUCUUCCGUGGAUUCCGUUUUCCAGAUGCACAGCAGCAGAAGACCCACUGAGAUCAGCCACGGACUAAGGAUCUCACUACGUAGUCCAGCCUGGCCUUGAACUCAUGAUGAUCUUCCUACCUCAGCCUCCCGAGACCUGGGAUUACAUGUGUGUAUCACCACUACCAGCAUCAACCUAUGAAUAUUAAACAAAGUACUUGACUCCUGAGCUUCCACUUUGAUGAUAGUGAUUGGUUGGGAGAUGGGCAUGUGACACAAAACAGGCCAAUCAAAGCCCCUAAAACUCAGUUCUGGUUCUUUUACUGGUGCAAUUAGAAAAGUGGCUCUUUCUUCUGUAGUCGCUCCUUAGGACCCUGGAAGCAUGUAGUUGCCAGGAACUACCGGCAGAGCCUAUGAACAGAACCAACUCUGAAGAAGUUGGGCUGAUGACGGGAUUCUAGCAUUUAAUUCCUAGUUUAAUUCUUGAAUCAACCUAUGCCUGGCAUAUAGGUGUGGGCUUUUCAGUUUACCUUCCUCAACCAAUUCCCAUUUUUGCUUAAAUCAGUCUGGGCUGAAUUUCCCGACCCCUGACUCAGACACAGGCAAAGCCUGUAAAAACUUCCAUUCUUGCUGGGGAUUUAGCUCAGUGGUUUCACCGCCUGCUGCUCAAGCGCAAGGACCCGAGUUCGAUCCCGGUACCAAAAAACAAACAAAUUUCCAUUCUUGAAGGUUAUUUGUUGUUGUUGUUUUUACCCUCAUAUUCACGUUUAUGUUUUGGUGGUACUGGGGAUUGAACCCAAGGCCUUUGCAGUUAGCUACAUCCCCAAACCCCUGGCUUCUUCUUUUGAGAAAGUGUUCCACAAAGUUGCCCAGACUGGGCUCAAGCCCAGCACCCCCCUGACUCAACCCCCCAGAGUGCUGGGACUACAGGCAUGCACCACCGCACCCAGCUGCACAUUUCUUACUUAGAUCCCCUUAGGUGGAGGCAUAUAUCUUUCCAUUUAUUCUAGAAUCUCUUCCUCUCUUCUGUUGUGGGCUAUGCCUCCAUCAUCUGUACAUGUGGUGGCAUGACUGACCCUUGUAGGCCUCUGUGAUUGGAGCCCCUGCUUUGUAUUCAAGUACCAGCACAGCAAGAGGAGAGGGAAAGUCGGAGACCAGAACAAGUAUUUAUUGAUUUCCUCAGAAAGGAGAGCUGAGCACAACCUGGUCGAUCACCUCAGAGACUCAGCAUUAUGAAUUGCUCCUGCAGAGUCAUUUUUAUACAAGACGAGGUAGCCCUGUACCUGGGCGGGACUAAUCUGGGUUGUAGCUUGAAGGACAUGUUCUGCAAAGGUCUCAGCCAAGGAAGGUGCUUGUCCCGGGUAGAACCUCUGGUAGAUUGGGGUUGUACGGGGCUGGUGAAGAAACUGGCAUGAGGAACUGCCAGAAAAGGCCUGGAGAUAGUUUAGAGACCCCAAGCUACUGAUCUUGGGAGUACUUUUUACUUAAUUUCAUUAUGUAUUUCAUGAUUCGAAAGUCAAAACUAAAUAGAAGCUAGGUGCAGUAGGGCAUCCUAGCUACUCAGGAUGCUGAAGCAGGAGGAUCUCAAGUUUGAGACCAGCCUGGGCAACUUGGCAAGAACCUGUCUCAAGCUAGACAUAGUGGCAUUUGCCUAUCAUCCCAGCAUUUAGGAAGCUGAGGCAGGAGGAUCACCGAAAGUUCCAGGCCAGCUACAUGGUAGGUUCAAGGCCAGCCUGAAGUGUAUAGUAAGGCCCUAUUUAAAAUGAAAAAACAAACAAACAAAAAUAAAUAAAAGGGCUAGGGAUGUAGCUCAGUGGUAGAGCCCUUGCCUAGCAGGCUCAAGGCCCUAGAUUCAAUCCCCAGCACAGAAAAAGAAAAUUAAACACAAAAGCAAAAAACUGAAUAGAAAAGUACACACAACCAAGGAUGGGAUCUGUUUGUUUAUUCUUCCAGGGGCUUUAUGCAAAAAUAAGCAGAUGUGAAUAUAUUUCUAUCUUUCCCUUUUGUUACACAAAAGGUAAGUAGGCUUUGCUUUGAUAUAUAUGCAUUUUAUAUCUUCAAAUGUGUUCAUUCAUAGAGUGCCCUUCCUUGAAAUUCUGUGAUUAUUCCUGGUUGCUUUCUGCAUAAUAUUUCCAGUGGCUCAGAACCUUAUUUAGCAUAUUUUACCACUUCUCUGCACUGUUACCCUGGAGACACCUUGGUUUAAUGCUGGAGAAUCCUCUUUCAUCAGCGUUAGAAAAUUCAAAUCAAGGGGCUAAAAUGUGAGUCUGGCUCAAAACUAGAAAAAAGAGAAACAAACAAAUCUAGGAAAUGUAAUCUAAAUGAUAUUCACAGAGACUGUUGUGGGUGUCAGGGAGAUAGCUAUGAAAAUAGAAGAGUUAAAAGGACUCUAAACUUUUAGACCAGAUAGAGAUUAAUAUUGACAGGUACCCAGAAUAACCCAGAAAGGUAUAAUACAUGAUUUUGAAUAGAUGUCAAAUUUAGUCUUCUUGGUUAGGCAAAAAUCUCUAAUCACAAGAUUCUGUUGACCUGCAUGCUUUUAACACACAAUAUCUUCCAAUCCUUUCAACACAGAGAGGUUUAAACAGGGCUUUGAUGAAGGUUGGCAGCCUCAGUACUCAGACCUGGGAACAUGGGGCAGUUUCACUUGAGGAAUGGGAAAGAGAACAUUUUCACACCAAGUCUACACAGUGGAUGUUCUUUUUUUUUUUCUUAAAAAAAUUACAUUCCAUCUUCAAUAAAAGAGAAAUGGCUAAAAAAUGAAUUUCAGGGAAACAAUCGGUUGAAAAUGAAAGGCAAUCAGAGAUACACCUAUCAUUUCACUGCAGGGAGACUUGAUAAUUCUCUCUCUCUCUCUCUCUCUCUCUCUCUCUCUCUCUCUCUCUCUCUCUCUCUCUCUCUUUUGUUUUUUAAGGCAGGGUCUCCCUUUGUAGUUCAGGCUGGCUCUGAACUCACUAUGUAGCCCAGGCUGGUCUCGAACUCUCAGCAAUCCUCCUACCUCAGCCUCCCAAGUGUUGGGAUUACAGGCGUGCGCCACCACACCCAGCUCAACCUAUUCUCUUAAUCCUCCGGCACGGGGAUGGACCAGGCCCAGUGCUGUGCAUGUACUGACGGCCAACUGAGCAAAACCUACCUGCAGGUGUCCCCUUAAUUCUUUGGGGUAUUGUGCAAGGGUUUCUUAACUGUUCGGUAGAGAAAAACUACUUGAGUUACCACUGAGUCUUAUUUUUCUGGUCAAUUUUUAUUUUUUUGUAUUAUAAAACUACAUAUUUAACCUGCCUGGUGAAGGUUCCUCUGGAUUGGGGAGAUUCUACAUGAGUUACAUAAACACAUUUGCAUUUUUAUGGUUUCCUACAGGCCUUCAUUGAAGUAAACAACCUAAGCAUUUUCUUCUUUUAUCGUCUAAGGAAUUAGUAUUUCUUGCUCACUUCUCCUUUUGAUCUUUGAAAUUCUAAUGGGGGAGUUCAAAGAGUCAUGAGUAAAACAUUUUUGAGUCUUUAAAUAAAUAUAUCUACCAUUGGUGUUUUGCCACGCUACAAAUCCCAAGGAAUAAAUGAAAACUCAAAGCAAACAUACUCAAAGAAAAUAAGCCCUCUAAAAAUACAGUACAGUUUCUGAAAAACACAGCCUUAAUAAUUAAAGAUUAAAGUUUCAUCUUUCUGAUGCUGAAAAUGUAAUAUUUUGUUUGUUGUACAGAUGAUGUUGUAAAUGCAUUUGUUUGUUGUAAAUACUAGGAUUUUAGGAAACAGUGAUUGGACAUACACAGUUUUUCAUUUAAAUAGAUGCUUUAUGCUAUUGCCAAAUUUCAAUAAUUUUAUUCUGUGUGCAAUAAAGCAAUCAAAGAACAUACAUUUUGGAGUUAAUGCUUUUAUUCUAGCAAAACACAUUUUCUGAGGGCUAAUUCAGCAUUAAACUUAUUCCAAUCAUAAAUCCGUAGACACAAAAUGUGAUUUAGCUAAUAGGUUUACACUUGUAAAAUAAAUGAAGAUUCAAUUAAAAGCCACUAGGUUAUGCCUAAGCAUCAGUUAAUUUUUGCCUCAGGGCAUACACUAUUUCUAUAUUAAGUAGUCUAAUAGAAGGCACUUUUACUUUCAAGGUUUUAUUUCUUUACUCACACACCAUGUGUGAAAAAUCCAUUCUUGGCACAACCCAUUAUUCAAUGGGACUUGAUUACUUACAUAUGCUUCUGACGGUUACAAAACCUGCAUUGUGUGGUAUGGAGUGGAUUAGGUUGUAGACUGCAAACAACAGGAAAAGAAGUUGGCUCACGACUUGAAUAGAUCGGCAUAUGUAACCGGAGAACAACAGAGAUUCUCCUUGUCUGUGGCUUUUUUAGAAUGUAGUAAACAUCGCUUCUCGGCCUUUUGGCUAAGAGCAAGUGUAGAAUGUAGUAAACAACUGUCAUUCAGGGAUGGGUCACCAACCAAAAAUGGUAACAAAACAAAAAAUCUUAAGGAAGCUAUGUAGAAGAGAAACUAGUAUAUUAGAUGCGUAACCCAAAGAGAAAAAUACAGAAGAUGAUGAAAUCCGCAAGAACAUUUGGAAAACAGGGCCAGGGAUUUAGCUCAGUGGUUUUGCCUCCUGCUGCGCAAGCGCAAGAACAUUUGGAAAUCAAGAAAUCCGACUUUAGCAGGGGCAGUGGCACAUGCCUGCAAUCCCAGCACUCUGGGAGGCUGAGGCAGGAGGUCCACAGGUCCAAGCCCAGGCUGGACAACUUAGCAACUCAUUGAGACCCUGUCUCAAAAUAAAAUAGAAUUGGGGAUGUAGCUCAGAGAAAAAGCCCUGGGUUUAAUACCCAGUAUGUAACUCUCUCUCUCUCUCUCUCUCUCUCUCUCUCUGGAAAAGAAAUCUGACUUCAUGUAUACUUAUCUAAUACUUCAGAGCUUUGAUUCUAUUAUGAUGCAGACCUAAAGAUCAGUGGAUUCAAAAACAAGAACAACUGCAUUUACAAUUUUGUUUUUCUUCCCUCCUCACAGCUAACUCCACAGUUACUGAGUUUCCACUUUGUAAUUCUUUGCUCAUCAAAGAUCAUUCUUGGCUCAUCAAGGACAUUUGAUUCACUCUCACUCAUUACUAAUUUAAUUGACAAUGAUGCUGUUAUAAAUAUCAAAUUAUUCUUCAUGGAAUUAUCUGCUUUCCAAUGACUAAAUGUCACCAUUAAGUUUUAAAUCCACUUCCUUUAUAAAAAUGCCUUUAUGGAAUGAGUCACUUUUCUUUCAGUGUCUCUCAGAACUCUUAUCAGUCAUGAUUUUUAAAAAUAGUAUCAGUACAGAUCUUUUAAGUGUAAAAUUAUUUUAUUGGGUGUUUGAGUCUGAUCCAUCAUGCCCUUGAUCAGGGCUGUUAUUGCUGGUCCUGAGGCUUUAUUUACAAAGUAGUCAAUGAGGGAUUAAAUUUAAUUUAGAGCCAGUUUCUAAUCACUGAUUAUCAUAGUAAUAUAUUUUCUGCUAUGUGCAGUACUUCUAUAUAUUUCCAGAAUGCCAUAGUUUUGCUAUCUACUUUGUAGAAUUUACAACUCUUUUGGUUAUCCGAGGAGUAUUUUUUUAAGCUUUAAAUCAAGAUUAAAUCAGGGCCAGGCAUGGUGGCACAUGCCUGUAAUCCCAGCACUUGGGAGGCUGAGACAGAAAGAUCACUGAGAGUUCGAGGCCAGCCUGGGCUACAUAGUGAGUUCAAGGCCAGCCUGAACUGCAUAGUGAGACCCUGUCUCAAAAAAACAAAUAAUCAUAAUAAUAAGGGCAGGGGAUUUAGCUCAGUGGUUCUGCCUCCUGCCUCGCAAGCAGAAGGACCCAAGUUCGAUCCCCAGUACCAAAAAGAAAAAAUAAUAAUAAAUAAAAAUUACAACAUUCAAAAAGGCAACUCAGUACUGGUUUGUUGAAGAAUUUAGGCUGGCUUAAACAACACAGUGAGAUCCUGUCUCAAAAUAAAAGAUCAAAUCACUUGCCAAGCAUGGUGACUCAAUGCAUGUAAUCCCAGCACUCAUGAAGCUGAGACAGGAGGAUUGCCAUGAAUUCGAGGCUCAACAAACAAAAAUCAAAUCACUUACAUUUAAAAAAAAUACAUUUAUUUUUAAACAAAUAUGUACAUUAUGCCCUCUGGAAAGAGAAGGAAUCACUCAACUAAAUUCAAGGAGAUGUGGCAAUUUCUUUGUCUGCUUUUUUAAUGUUGCUUGCAUAGCUUACUUUAAAAAAAAAAAAAAAAGAGGAAAAGGAAAUAUCCAGAAAGGAGCAUUGAGGGAAGAAAGAAAUUCCUGUGAUGUCAAGCUCAUAUUCACGAAUUCUAACAAUCUAACUCAGUGCAUGUGCUGUCUGGUUCAAGUAGCUACAGGUCCCAGAGGAGUAGUAAGUGUACCUGUCACCUCUGGAGAACCCUUGCUACAUGUCACCCACUUCUUCUUCCUGUCCCUACCACUCAAUAAGUGACUUCUGUUUCACAUUAUCUGGAGUGUCUGGGGCCAACUUACAUAAAACAUCGUGGUUCGUAAUGAGAAACAUUUCAAACAUUUUGCCUUCCUAGUUAGCUUCCAGUGAGCAGCCAUGUCUGAAGAGCUGCUAUUUAAAGAGCUCUGUUUUCUUUACAGCCAGUUCUUAACCCUGGGACUAAAGCAUGUUUGGUUAAGGAUACUAAAUUGAGGGCUGGGGAUGUAGCUCAGUGGUUCUGCCACCUGCCUCACAAGUGCAAGGUCCUGAGUUCGAUCCCCAGUACCAAAAAAAAAAAAAUGCAAGAAUACUAAGUUGAGACAGGCUCCUUCAUUUACAAAAAAAGAAAAAAAGAGAGAGUGCAGAACAAGUUCUGCAAUGUUUUUUUAAUAAUUCAAACUGAAAGCAAAUGAAUGUUUCAUUUCUUUAGCCAACCAUGUGUUUCAUUUUAUUUAUUUUUCAAGUUAAUGCCAAGAAAAGUCAGUUCUUUACACAAACUGUUUGGAUGGAGUUCUUAGGAGUAAAGGAAAAUGGAUUAAAUAUUUGUUUUAAGGACAAUGAUAUUAUAGACUCAAGAAGAACAGAGGGCAGAGGAGAAUGGCAAAAUUUAAUCACUCAAACUUGAGGGAAGUAGCCUUGGUUUGAGAUAUUUGUACAGAGAGCUUUAGUAACAUUUACCUUUUAUACUUUCCUUCCCUGCCAACCCCUCAUCCCUCCCAUACCAGCAAUUGAACUCAGAACCUUGAGCUUGCCAGGCAGGCGAGGCACCACUGGGCUAAAUCCUCGACCUGAUACUUUCCUUCUUUGAAACCUGGUACUCUCAAAUCCAACUACUGUGUGUUGGGGGUGCUGGUGUUCAAACUCAGGCCCUCAAGUACACUAAGCAGGUGCUCUACCACUAAGCCAUGCCAGCCUCCAUUUAUUUUUGUCCUCAGCCUUGCACAACUAGGUAUUAAUGUCCCUCUGUAACCUUCCCUCCACUUUCUGGAAUACAUGGCUUCCUAGCUCUUCUGUUGUCUCCUCAUUUUAACCUCUUUUGCUCUUUCUUGCCCUUUGUCCUGAAGAGUACUGUUUAUUUGCUAAGCAGUGUUUACAGGGUGUCUCCAACGUCCCAAGCACACACAUUUGGGGUGGGGGGAGCACAGUACCAGGAACUAAAUCUGACCUACAUCUCCAGUGCUUUUUUAUUUUUUAUUUUGAGUCAAGGUUUUGCUAAGUUCCCCAUUGUUUGAUUUUGAGAUUCUCCUGCCUCAGCCUCCCAGAGCGUCAAGAUUACAGGCAUGCGCCACCACACCCAGCUCCAAGCACACUUCUUAGGACAGUCUCAGGCCUUUCUUUUCAUCUGCCCACUGUGGGCAGCCACUGUACUUACUGUCCGGUCCUGUUAGUUCUUAAUUCCUCUUGUCCUAUCCAGUCCCUCCUCAAAGGAUAAAGCAAGGAAUUCAUAACCAAUGAGAACAAACAAGAAAACCAGCCAAAGAAAAUGCUGUGUUUCUUUUCCCUUUCUUGCGUUUAGGAGGAAACUCAUGAUAUAUCUCCACAUCUGUGUUAUCUCACUUGGUUUAUAGAGUUUGUGAGAGAAAGAGAUUUGAUUUGUGGCUCUGCUUGUAUUGUCUGGGUGAUCUUGGACAAGUUACUUAACCAGAUGCCUUAACCAGAAAUCCUUUCUGGAGCGAGGCAGUAGUGUAAAUAAAUAAAGGACCUUGCCCAGGCUUCAUUUCCUAAUUAUAGAGGAAACAUAGCAUAAAGAUUGAAAGCACAGGCUCUAGACUUAAACAUACUUGGGUAAGAGUCCUGGACUUUCCACUGACUUGAUAUGUGGCCUCAGUUUCCUCAUUUGUGAAACAGAACCAUUAAUAUCAACUUCGUAAGAUUUGAAUGCGAUAAUGUAUAGAAUGAAAGCAUGCACAUGCUCGUGCAUGUGUGUGUGUGUGUGUGUGUGUGUUUUACUGGGGAUUGAACUCAGGUUUUCCUAUUUGUUCACAAUGAGCUACAUCCCCAGCCCUUUUUUCAUUUUGAGACAGGAUCUUCCUAAAUUGCUAAGUUGCCCAAGCUGGGCUUGAACUUGUGAUCCUCCUGCUGCAGCUUCCCAAAGUGCUGAGGUUACAGGCGUAUGCCACUACAGCACACUUAUUAUUAUUGCUGCAUAACAAAUUACUCUAAAACUUGGGGUUAUGACAUAACAACUAUUUUAUUUGCUUGUGAUUUCAUGUGCCAGGAAAUUGGAAAGUGCUCUGAUGGAUAGUGUUCUCUUGGGAUUUCUCAGGUGCCUGCAAUCAGACCUUGGCCGGGCUGCCGCUGCGUGAAGCUGUGGUGGGCUCACUCACAACAGGUGACUGGGAGCCCGAAGGUGACCCCCAGUUGUCACACACCUCUCAUGUGGUGCUGACUUUCCGCAGCGGAAGUGCCCAAGAGAAUGAGAGGGAAGCUGCAGAAGCCCCACACCAUCACUUCCCGUGGUCCAUGGGGACAGCAGUCACAGGUUCAUCCAGAUACAGGGGGGGAGGGGAAAAGUGUCAAAGAGUUUUCCAGGCACAUCUUAAACGCUCCAUAGUCAAGUUGAUAAAUUGUGGUGUACUCAGCAUGUGCUUCACAAAGAUUUUUCAUUUGUUUUCUGUGUUUUGGGGUGUUUUUUUUUUUUUGGUACCGGGGAUCGAACUCGGGUCCUUGAGCUUGAGCAGCAGGCGGGGAAACCACUGAGCUAAAUUCCCGGCCCCAAGAUUUUUCAUUUGACUUUGGAUGUAUUAAUGAUCUACAGAUCACAUUUUAAAACUUCUUUUGGUUUUUGUUGUUGUUGUUGUUGAUUGUUGUUUUGUCUUGUUUUGGAGACAGGUUAUCACUGUGUAGCCCAGGAUGACAUCGAACUCCCAGCGAUCCUCCUGCCCCAGCCCCCAGUGCUGGGAUUACAGGUGUGCACUACUAUGCCCCGCCUAAAAAAUCGCUAAGCCACAGUUAGAUGCCAGGCAGUGGGCGGCUGUGCCUUCAGCGCAUGCGCAUGCGCAUGCGCGUUGUCAGACCCCAGGGCCUCUUCCAUCCUUGUCAAGGAGUGCUGACUUUUCGGCCUUUCACGUCACACCCGAUUGUCUACGUGACAUAGUGUCUGCAUAUUCGAGGGACAUGGAGAAAUGGAGGUGGGAAAGGUGGCAUGGAAAUGUGAAAGCCUCAACUAUCACAGAGGGAAAUCAAUAGGUUAUAUUCAGAAUCAAUCAGCUGGGAAGUUUAUUUAGAAAAUGAUGAUAAAUGUUAGAAGGGAAAGCUAAAAGUUGAGGUGACUGCCUCUGCAAAGUAGAAAUGGGAGGUCUAUAGAGAUCAGGCUAGAGACUGACGGGUUUUUUUGUUUGUUUUUUUGGUACGAGGGAUCGAAUUCAGGACCUUGUGCUUUUGAGGCAGGCAGCAGAACCACUGAGCUAAAUCCCUGGCCUGGGACUGACAGUUUUUCAAAACAGGAAUCUUCAAGCAAUGUUACAUUUUAAUGAUAGUACAUGUAUUACAUGUAUGAAAAUAUAAAUCAAGUGAAAAUAUACAAAUAUAUUGCCCAUGGGGCUGGGGAUUUAGCUCAGUGGUUCUGGCUCCUGCCUUGCAAGUGCAAGAUCCCGAGUUCGAUGCCCGGUACCAAAAAAAAAAAAAAAGGAAUAUAUUGCCCAUGCAAUGUGAAUAUAUCUGGGGGAGGAGCUAUAAAGAUUGCAGUCAGAGCUGGGUGGGGUGGCGCACACCUGUAAUCCCAGCACUCUGGGAGGCUGAGGCAGGAGGGUUGCUGUGUGUUUGAGGCCAGCCUGGGCUACAUAGUGAGUUCAAGGCCAGCUUGAACUACAUAGAGAGACCUUGACUCAAAAAGAAAAAAAAAAGAAAGAAAAGAAAAGAAAGAAAGAAAGAAAGAGAAACUAUGUAGUGAGACCAUGUCUCAACAACAACAAAAGGGACCAAUAUAUUUUUUCUACUUUUAGUGCUUUCUCCAUCACAACUGUCAGCUUUCACUUUUGUUCUUUGCAGAUUAUUCAAAAUCACUCCGUGUUGGGGCUGGGGAUUUAGCUCAGUGGCGCCAUCCCUGCCUCACAAGUGCAAGGUCCUGAGUUUGAUCCCCAGUACCCCCCCCCAAAAAAAAUCACUCCAUGUUAUAAUCUCAUUUCCCAGCUAUAAACAUGACUUCAAGCUACAUUUUCUGGCCGAACUUGUCAUAUCAGUUACAUCCAUCUCACUGGGACUGCCUAAUCCAGUGUGGAAUGAUGGCUGAGGACUUGGAGCUCUGAAAUCCAGCACACCUGGUCUUAUGCUCGCUGGGCUGGCUGGGGUUGGAUGGCCAUGGGGAGGUUUAUCUCAAUGCCCCAGUUUCUCAUCUGCUCAUGGGGUAGUAAGAGUGCCAAUCUCACAGGUGCAAGGCUCAAAAAAGCUGAUUCUUGUCAGGUGUGGUGGCGCAUGCCUAUGACCCUAGCAUUGGAAAGGCUGAGGCAGGAGGAUUGCUGCAAGUUUGAGAACAGCCUAGGCUCCAUAGUGAGUUCAAGGCUUUUCAAAAAAACAAAACAAAAUGCACUUUUCCAGUUUAUCUUCUCAGAAAUACAACUGUAUGACAUUUUUUUAGCAGAGACAUUCCUGACUAUGCCUGCCUGCUCUUUAAUAACAGCAUGUAUUUGUUUGAAAGACUCUUUGGAAUAAUCACCUCUUAUUUUUUUAUUUUUUUAAAUUUGGGGGGCGGAUUUUUGAGACAGGAUCUCACUAUCUAAUUGAGGCUAGCCUUGAACUCUCUAUGUAGUCCAGGCUGACCUCGAACUCAUGGUGACCCUCCUGCCUCAGCCUCUGAGUGCUGGAAUUACAUGCAUAUGCUACUGUGCAAGGUCAGAAAAACACAUUUACAGGAUGCCUGUGUGAGACUCACUCACAAUAGGCCCUGGAGGUAUAAGAUGAAUAAGGCACAUUCCCUGACUCUGAGAGGCCUAAAACUAGAACAGGAAGGACAUAUAUAAUUUGACAAGUGAUAAAGACAGGAAGCCAGGCAUGGUGGUGCAUGCCUGUGAUCCCAGUAUCUGGGAGGCUGAGGCAGGGGGAUCACCACAAGUUCAAGGACAGCCUGGGUUACAUAACGAGCUCAGGGCCAGCCUGCACUACAUAGCAAGAUCCUGUCUCAAAAACAAACAAAACAAUAAACAAACAAAUACAAUAAAGGUAGGACAAAGAAUUUAAAGAAGGUUGUAGGGGCUGAGGAUGUAGCUCAGGGAUACAGGACUUGCCUAGCAAGGGUGAGGCUCUGGGUUUGAUCCCCAGUCCCGCAAAAGAAAAAUAAAUACAUAAAUAGAUGAAGAUUGUAGACUCUUUCUCCAGUGUCACAAAGGGACAAGGUCCCUCCUCAACAAUGAGCUAAAGACAUGAAAUCUGUCACCACAGUGGCAGGAAUGGGAGAGAUGAGCCAAGCUCAGUGUAGACUGUGCCAAGUAUCUCGAAAGCCCCUCCCAUACUGCGAAGGACACAGGGUAGUGACAGCACCGGGCUGGCAGGGGUGGGGGACAGGGACAGGAAAGUCUGAUAGGUAUCAGAGGAGCAAAGUAGUUGCAAAAUGAAGAAUUAAUGUUAUAAGAAGAGGCCUGGCCUUUGCCUUUGGCUACUGACAGGUGACCUCUAGGUUCCAGGAUGUCUCGCCUGAUAGGGGUGUUUUUGUUUGCCAGGGGCUUUGGCCUCUCUGAGAGUCUAACCUGUGAUUUAUGAUGGAGGCUUUGUGUCACGCCCAUCACUUCUGACCUUCAGAAGGGAUGAGAGAAGAAAAGUCAGCCACGUGGACAAUAGGUGAUCGAACUCCCAUAAAAGUCCUGGACACCAAAGGCCUGCAUGAGCUUCCUUGGUUGGCAAAAUCUGUGGCCAUCAGGACUCCAUAAUUCCAUGGGGAGAGGAUGAUUGCCAUGCCGAGAAUGCUCAGACACCUCCUGACCUCUGCCCUUGCAUCUCUUCCCUUGGCUGCUUUAAUUUGUGUGCUUUGCUUUAAUCACAUGGGAGGGCAGUCAUGGAACCUCUGGAUUAGUAGCCAGCUGUCUGAAGGGAAGGAGGUCCUGGGAACACCAGCUUGCCACUGGUGUCUGAAGUAAAGUUGGUUUUGUGGGGACCUGGGACUGGCCCCCGCAUCUGAAGUAUUAACCACACACCACAGGAGGAAGAAAUGGGAGGGGAGGAUUCCAGCCAGCUGCCUCCUGCCCUCCCUCCCCUCUUCUCGGUGGGGCCCUCCACCAACUGGGGCUGGGCCGAGGGGGCUGUGGAUUCAGCCCAGAUAGUUCGCUGUUCUCAAGGCAUAGAUGGAAGAUAUUUAGCACCUGGGCCCAGAUCCUUGCUCUGUCCCUACCAGCUGUGGUCUUCAGAGUGUCUUGUGAGACCAGUUUCCUCCAGUGAAGGACAGCGCAGGAAGUUUCUUGUGUGGCACUGCCUGCAAGGGAAGGGCUCAGUGGCCUCCAACAGGAGGGAUGGCGCCUCUGCCUCUGCUCCUCCUGGGCUCUAAGGACCCAACCCCGGGGACCCCACUCCCCCCAGUAUUCCAUGCUGACCACUGGGCCCAGCAAUUGUCACUGUGCUGGGAGCCCGACUUGUUUGCUUAACCCUGGGAUCUCCUAGGAAUGGCACUUUGCGGCUAUAAGUAACCAUGGCAACUGGCUGCUGCUACCUGAUAACUAAAGCGAGUUGGUAACAGCCUGAAUAAUGACAGGGAGAAAGGCUGAGAACAAAGGCUUUCAGAAGCCAGGUUAAGCAAAAUCCGUGGUCCAGACUUGGGUUGGAUGUUUCAGUCCCUCAAGAGUUAGCAACCAGCUCUACACUGGGGACCCUCUCUCUUGACCUCACUGCACACAGCAAUUGGCCUCACAGUAAAUAAGAGUCAGGAUCCUUGCCACUCCGCCUGCUGACUUCUAAUGAGCUACGUGGAGCCGGAGCCAUUUGUACUGAGAAGCUCUCAGACAGACCUAGGACUGUAGAGAAAAGGGGUGGGUUGGUAUGCUAGGCAAAAAUACCAUCAAGUGGGUGGUUGCAACAACAGAAAUGUAUGGUCUCAUAGUUUUGCAAGCCAGAAGUUUGAGAUCAAAGGCUCUGCAGCGGGCUGGGGAUGUCGCUAACUGGUAGAGUACUUGCCGAAUGUGUGUGAGAGGCCCUGGGUUCAAUCCCCAGUACCACAAAAACCACGGCAUCCAGAAGGGUGGGUUCUGUCUGAGGGCUGAGAAAAGGCAUCUGUUCCAUACCUGUACCCCAGAGCCCAGUGGUUGCUGGUAAUCUUUGGUGUUCCAUGGUUGGCAGGUAGAAUCACCAGCCUAGUCUCCACCUGCAUUUUCACAUGCUGUUCUCCUGGUUCCAAAUUUCCCUUUUUGAAAAAAAAUUAGUACAUAUUUACAGUACACAAUAAUUGUAUUCAUGGUAGGGAGUUGGUACAUGUACAUAGCACAUCUUAACAAAUGUCCCUUUGUAUAAAAAUAUCAGCCAUGUUGGGCAUAGUGGUGCAUGUCUGUAUUCCUGGCACUCUGGAAGGCUGAGGCAGGAGGAUCCCAAAUUCAAAUCCAGCCUGGGCUACUUAGUGACUUAGCAAAACCCUGUCUCAAAGUGAAAAAUAAAAAAAGGGGUAGGGACAUAGCUCAAUAUGAGGGUCCUGGGUUCAAUUCCCAGUACACACACACAAAAGAGUCAAAAGGAUUAGGGUCUCCUUAAUGACAGCAUUUUAACUAAUGACAUUUACAACAAACCUGUUUACAAAACAGUCCACAUUUUGGGGUACUGGAGCAUAGGAAUUUAACCUUAGUGGGGGGUGAGGAAGGUCCCCCACCACCAUCCCAAGCUCCCAGGGCACAGAAGGUGAGCUGCGUGGGUGCCCCCAUGGAAAUGAGAAAACCCAUAAACAAGCCUUAAAAACAGACUUCUGGAUCACCUACAGCAACCCCAAAGGGAAACGAGAUGGAACAAUCUGAUACUCAGCCACCUGGACUCUCUGAACUGGCAACAAAAGAGGAUCUGGGAAAAAUGAAAUCAGAAAUAAUUACUCAGAUAACAGCAAAGAAUUUGCUCAUGGUGCAAGACAUGAUUAAUAAAUCUAGAGAGAACACAGAUAAAAAAACAGAGGAUCUGAGGAAUAUGAUGGAAUCCCAACACAGGAAACAAAUGGAAUCCAUAAAACAGAUACAAACAGAUUUCCAAGAGACUAAAAACUCCAUCGAAAGUCUGCGCAGCAGAAUGAACCAAUGUGAAGAUAGAAUUUCAGAUAUAGAAGAUAAGAUUGCAAUUAGUGAGGAGGAAAAGAAAAAUUGCUUUAAAAUUGUAAGGGAACAUGAGAAAUCAAUCCAGCAGCUGCUAGACGAUGCAAAGAAGAAUAACAUAAGACUGAUUGGAGUCAAUGAAGAAAGAAGAGAGAGUGUAGAUGACAUAAAAAAACUUUUCACAGAAGUGAUGGCAGAAAACUUCCCAAGGAGGGGAAAAGAACUUGACAUACAGAUAAGUGAGGCAUAUAGGACUCCAGCUAGCCUCAAUCAAAAAAAUCUACACAUAGGCAUAUAAUAGUUAGGAUUCCAGAAAUCCAACAGAAGAAUAAAAUUCUACAAGCAGUGAGAGAAAAGAAACAAAUCACAUACAAAGGAAAGCCCAUCAGAAUCACAGCAGACUUCUCAAUGCAAACCCUCAAGGCAAGAAGAGCUUGAAGUGAUGUAUUUCAAGCCCUAAAGGAAAACAGCCUCCAACCCAGAUUGAUGUACCCUGCAAAACUAUCUUUCAAAAUUGAUGGAGAAAUAAGAUACUUUCACGAUAAAGAGCACCUCAGGAACUUCAUGAAUACCAAACCGGCACUCCAAAAAAUUUUAGACAAUACCCUAGGAAAAGACAAUGAGGAUCACAACCCCAGGAAACCCAGCAGAAUGAAUCCAUUGGGCGUGACAAAUUAAACCCAAAGGGGGAGAAUCCAACAAAAAGAAAAAGUCAUGACAAGGCUUUUAAAAUUUUUGACUUCAUCUCCCUAAUGAGUGUAUAAUUCAAUCUUAUUAUUGUACUGAUUAGUAUUUUUCUGAUUCUAGAGUUGCACACCAUUCCUUGUGCUAUACUGGCU